AUUCCAAAAACACUUAUACAACUGUUACCUUGACCCCUUCCUUUACAAUAAUAUCUUGUCAAUUUGUAGAUCAGAUCAUGAACAGCUUAAAUUAAAUCAUUCACGCGCCAGUUUGAAGAUCAUCAUAUUGUCGUUUGCAAUUACAAUUCCCUGACCGCCGCCACCGUCGUCCUUGUCGUUCACAACCUCGGAACCAUCGCCGUCGCUAUUUAGAUUGAACUUCAUUGUAGUUGACCACUUUGAAGAAAUAGCUGUCGCUGCUUAGAUUGGACUGAAGGGAAGUAAGAAGCCCUAAAUACCUGCCCACUCCUAUCCCCUGCUUCUUUCUCAGACCCAAAGGAAUUGGCUGAUUUAAACGCGUCAGUUCGGGAGAGAUUCAAUAAUUUACCCGAUUUUAAUCCAAUAAAUUGAGGUAAAAUCAUCGUUUUGUUUGUAAAUGUUUCUUUUAUAUAGCUGGGUAGAUCUGUCCGUGUGCAAAUAUAUGUUUUGUUUAGCUUUGAUGACUUCAAAAUUGUGCAAAAUGGAAAAUGGAAUUUGUGUUGGGUUUAUUUAUUUAUUUUUUGAAAUUAUUGGAUUUAUUUUUUUGUUCAUAGCAGUUCAAUUCUGAAAAUUGCAUAUACAUAUACAUAAUGUGCGUAUGUACAGAGAAAUUGGUAAUUGAUUUGUAAUGAUUUUCUUUCUAUAAAUUCAUUCAUUUAUCUGUUAAAUUUAUGCUACUAUCUUAAUUUCCUUACCCCCUAAAUUCAUUUUGUAAAAUCCAAAUCUUGUGUGACUAUUGCAAAUAUAUUAGGAAAUACUAAUUGUCAACAAUCAAAAUCACAAACUUCAAACUGUUAUCACAUAUCCAUACUAUAUUAAUCCUAGUAUUUAUUAGAACAAACAUAUUAGAUAAUCUAAAGUUUUGAAAAAGUUUUGGGAUAUUUAUGCAAAAUCUAAUAAACAUAACAUUACAAACUUCAAAUGAUACAUGCUUUUUCCAUUUUAUUCAACUAUAUAUUAGAACAAAUCUAGUAGACAAUAUAAAGUUUUGAGAAAUUGGAGAAAUUAAUUAUUAUACAAAAUUUAGUGCAUGUGUUUGUAAAUAGACAUACAAGUACACAUGUUUAUAGCUUAAUUAAUUGCAUAAUGUUUCCUAUUUUUGCUCCCUUUCUAAGCAAGCUCCAUCAAUGGCGGGUAUCAACAUUGCCUACCUCUGGCUUGUUGUUCUCUUUAGCUUCCCCCUCUGUCUCCUUGCUCUCCUAGUUCUAAUUGUUAGGCCCCGCCCUGUCAAGAUUCCUAUAAAAAACCGCCAUGUGUUCAUCACUGGUGGAUCAAGUGGAAUUGGGUUGGCUUUGGCUCAUCAAGUCGCAUUGGAAGGGGCUCAAGUGUCCAUCCUAGCCCGUUCCCUCGAAAAGCUCAAGGAAGCAAAGCACAUGAUCCAGCUUUCCACUGGUGUUGAUGUGGCAAUUUUUGCAGCAGAUGUGAGGGAUUUUGACUCCAUACAAAAGGUGGUGGCUGAGGCAGGCCCUAUUGAUGUUUUGGUGGUGAAUCAAGGUGUUUUUCUGCCUCAAGAGCUAGAGAAGCAGGAAUUGGAUGAGGUCAGGUUCAUGAUAGAUGUGAACUUGAUGGGAAGUUUUAACAUGAUUAAAGCUGCUUUGCCCGGAAUGAAGACUAGGAAUGGGCGUGGGCCUGCCUCUAUUGCUCUCAUGUCAUCUCAGGCUGGUCAGGUGGGCAUAUAUGGUUACACUGCUUAUUCAGCUAGUAAGUUUGGCCUUCGGGGUUUAGCAGAAGCAUUACAACAGGAGGUCAUUGCAGAUGACAUCCAUGUCUCCCUUAUAUUCCCUCCUGACACAGAGACUCCUGGUCUUGCUGAAGAAAACAAAAGAAGGCCACAACUCACAAGUAUCAUUGCUGCCUCCUCUGGUGCAAUGAAAGCAGAUGAAGUUGCCAAAAAAGCUUUAGAUGGCAUCAAAUCUGGUAGUUUUGUUGUCCCAUGCAACAUUGAGGGAUCCUUAUUGGCCAUAGCAACUGCUGGUUUAUCCCCACAAAGAUCAUUCUUAAUGGCAUUUGUUGAGGUGGUUGCUGCUGGUCUAAUACGUUUAAUUGCUCUUUGUUUCCAGUGGAAUUGGUAUGGAAGUAUAGAAAAGUGGCACGCACAAAAGAAAUAGCAAGCAUUCAGUAUCACCCUCAUGUAAUUUCUUUUUUGUGUGAUGAAUAGAGCGCCUGGUUCGUCAGAUGGUGUUAACCUUUUGUGUUCUGACAUUGAUUUGUCAUACUGUGUUAAGAUUAUAUUGAAGCAAUAUUAAAGUGAAAAAAUGAAAAUACUAAUACUGUAAUGUUACAACCAGAUAAGUUCAGGGACAGUUGUCA
rnacentral:misc_RNA from 1 species